UACAUGUGGGGCAAGCGUUGUUCGGAAUUACUGGGCAUAAAGGGUGCGUAGGUGGUUUGUUAAGUCAGGGGUGAAAGUUUUCGGCCCAACCGGAAAAUGGCCUUUGAUACUGGCGAGCUUGAGUGCGUGAGGGGUAACCGGAACGAGCAGUGUAGCGGUGAAAUGCGUAGAUAUCAGGAGGAACACCGGCGGCGAAGGCGGCCCUCUGGAUCGUUGCUGACGCUGAUACGCGAAAGCGUGGGGAGCAAACAGG
rnacentral:rRNA from 1 species